GAUUAACGCUAGCGGCAGGCCUAAUACAUGCAAGUCGAGGGGUAACAGGCGUAGCAAUACGUGCUGACGACCGGCAGACGGGUGCGUAACACGUGUGUAACCUACCUUUAACUGGAGGAUAGCCCCGAGAAAUCGGGAUUAAUACUCCAUAACAUCAUGAUAUCGCAUGGUAACAUGAUUAAAGCUCCGGCGGUUAAAGAUGGACAUGCGCGAUAUUAGCUAGUUGGUGAGGUAACGGCUCACCAAGGCUUCGAUGUCUAGGGGUUCUGAGAGGACAUUCCCCCACACUGGUACUGAGACACGGACCAGACUCCUACGGGAGGCAG
rnacentral:rRNA from 1 species